rnacentral:hammerhead_ribozyme from 1 species
GUCCGGCGAAUGAGUCCCAAAUAGGACGAAACGCACGUCAAACUGGAU